rnacentral:rRNA from 1 species
AAGUCGACGGCAGCACGGGAGCAAUCCUGGUGGCGAGGUGGCGAACGGGUGAGUAAUAUAUCGGAACGUGCCCAGUCGUGGGGGAUAACGCAGCGAAAGCUGUGCUAAUACCGCAUACGAUCUAUGGAUGAAAGCGGGGGAUCGCAAGACCUCGCGCGAUUGGAGCGGCCGAUAUCAGAUUAGCUAGUUGGUGGGGUAAAGGCCCACCAAGGCGACGAUCUGUAGCUGGUCUGAGAGGACGACCAGCCACACUGGAACUGAGACACGGUCCAGACUCCUACGGGAGGCAGCAGUGGGGAAUUUUGGACAAUGGGCGCAAGCCUGAUCCAGCAAUGCCGCGUGCAGGAUGAAGGCCUUCGGGUUGUAAACUGCUUUUGUACGGAACGAAACGGUGAGCUCUAAUAAAGUUUGCUAAUGACGGUACCGUAAGAAUAAGCACCGGCUAACUACGUGCCAGCAGCCGCGGUAAUACGUAGGGUGCGAGCGUUAAUCGGAAUUACUGGGCGUAAAGCGUGCGCAGGCGGUUAUAUAAGACAGAUGUGAAAUCCCCGGGCUCAACCUGGGACCUGCAUUUGUGACUGUAUAGCUAGAGUACGGUAGAGGGGGAUGGAAUUCCGCGUGUAGCAGUGAAAUGCGUAGAUAUGCGGAGGAACACCGAUGGCGAAGGCAAUCCCCUGGACCUGUACUGACGCUCAUGCACGAAAGCGUGGGGAGCAAACAGGAUUAGAUACCCUGGUAGUCCACGCCCUAAACGAUGUCAACUGGUUGUUGGGUCUUCNCUGACUCAGUAACGANCUANCGCGUGANUUGACCGCCUGGGGAGUACGGCCCCAGGUUGAACUCAAGNAUUGACGGGGACCNCCCAGCGGGGNAUG